UUAAAUUCUAUGACGAGAACAAGUAGGAAAGGGAAAGUUCCUUCAGCGAGCUGGGUAUGGUGAGAGCCAGCGGAAACGAUCUUUCUGAAACAUCAUCUCUGAGAUGCAGGGCUGAAAUCCAGUAAGUCCUGACGGGUGUCCGCCGUUAAAAGGAACGCGUAUGAUGGUACGUUGAUGAGCGCUAUUGUUUAUGCAAUAGAAUUUGGGUGGUAACGCGGGUAUAACACUCGUCCCUUAU
rnacentral:ncRNA from 1 species